GACGAACGCUGGCGGCGUGCUUAACACAUGCAAGUCGAACGAUGAAGCCUGAGCUUGCUCUGGUGAAUUAGUGGCGAACGGGUGAGUAACACGUGAGUAACCUGCCCUUGACUCUGGGAUAACUGCGGGAAACUGUAGCUAAUACCGGAUACGACCCUCGGAGGCAUCUCCUGGGGGUGGAAAGAAUUUCGGUCAAGGAUGGACUCGCGGCCUAUCAGCUAGUUGGUGAGGUAAAGGCUCACCAAGGCGACGACGAGUAGCCGGCCUGAGAGGGUGACCGGCCACACUGGGACUGAGACACGGCCCAGACUCCUACGGGAGGCAGCAGUGGGGAAUACUGCACAAUGGGCGCAAGCCUGAUGCAGCAACGCCGCGUGAGGGAUGACGGCCUUCGGGUUGUAAACCUCUUUUAGCAGGGAAGAAGCGAAAGUGACGGUACCUGCAGAAAAAGCACCGGCUAACUACGUGCCAGCCGCCGCGGUAA
rnacentral:rRNA from 1 species